GCCUUUGCAAGGCAGACGUCAGCGGUUCGAGUCCGCUUAUCUCCACCGAUUGCUACCGCAGUUUUUAAUAACACAGUCAAAUAAAAAAAAGUUAACGGCGGAUACCUAGGGACUCAGAGAUGAUGAAGGGCGCAGAAACCCGCGAUAGGCUUGGGGGAAUUGGAAACAAGUAUUGAUCCCAAGAUUCCCGAAUAGGACAACCUUCUAAAACUCCCUAUUGAAUUCAUAGAUAGGUAAGAAGUAACUCAGCAAAUUGAAACAUCUUAGUAGCUGAAGGAAAAGAAAGCAAACGCGAUUCCCCUAGUAGCGGCGAGCGAAAUGGGAACAGCCUAAACCAAAUUAAUUGGGGUCGUUGGGAAAGACUCGAAAAAACCAAAUCUAAGGACGAAGCAGCUGAACCCUGCACCAUAGAUGGUGAAAGUCCAGUAGUUAUAAUUUCAAUGGUUAUUCUUAUCCCGAGUAGCAUGGGGCACGUGAAAUCCCGUGUGAAUCUACGAGGACCACCUCGUAAGGCUAAAUACUCGUGAGUCACCGAUAGUGAAGUAGUACCGCGAGGGAAAGGUGAAAAAGAACCCCUGCAGGGGAGUGAAAUAGAGCAUGAAACCGUUAACUGACAAGCAGUGGGAGAAUUUUUAAAUUUGACCGCGUCCCUGUUGAAGAAUGAACCGGCGACUUAUAGGAGGUGGCAAGGUUAAAGAAAUUUUUUCUGAAGCCAGAGCGAAAGCAAGUCUGAAAUAUGGCGUGUGUCAUUUCUUAUGGACCCGAACCUGGGUGAUCUAACCAUGACCAGGGUGAAGCUUGGGUAAAACCAAGUGGAAGCCCGAACCGACUGAUGUUGAAAAAUCAACGGAUGAGUUGUGGUUAGGGGUGAAAUGCCAAUCGAACUCAGAGCUAGCUGGAUCUCCCCGAAAUGCGUUGAGGCGCAGCGGUUGUUGAUGGGUCGUCAAGGGGUAAAGCACUGUUUCGGUGCGGGCUGCGAAAGCGGUACCAAAUCGUGGCAAACUAAGAAUACUUGAAGGACUUUCCAACAACCAGUGAGACGGUGGGGGAUAAGCUUCAUCGUCGAAAGGGAAACAGCCCAGAUCAUCAGCUAAGGCCCCUAAAUAAUUUCUAAGUGGGAAAGGAGGUGAGAAUGCUCAGACAACCAGAAGGUUUGCUUAGAAGCAGCCAUCCUUUAAAGAGUGCGUAAUAGCUCACUGGUUAAGCGUUUUUGCGCCGAAAAUGCUCGGGACUAAGAAAUUUGCCGAAGCUGUGAGAUACAAUAAAGUAUCGGUAGGGGAGCGUUCCGCUGUAGGGUGAAGUGUUUUCGAAAGAAUAUAUGGACGAAGCGGAAGUGAGAAUGUCGGUUUGAGUAACGAAAACAUUGGUGAGAAUCCAAUGCCCCGAAAACCUAAGGGUUCCUUCACUAGGUUCGUCCAUGGAGGGUUAGUCAGGACCUAAGGCGAGACCGAAAGGUGUAGUCGAUGGCAAGCAGGUUAAUAUUCCAGCACUUUUUGAUUUAUUCGUACCGAGGGACGAAGUAACUAUGUCGCAAAUUUGAUAUGGUUUGAUAAUUUGUGAAAUUUAAGAUAAGAAAAAAAACUUAUCUACUAAACUCGUUGACAUACACUUCCUAGAAAAGCUCGUACUACAUUAUGUAAAUCAAAAACCUGUACCCGAAACUGACACAAGUAGGUAGGUAGAGAAUACCAAGGGGAGCGAGAUAACUCUCUCUAAGGAACUCGGCAAAAUGGCCCCGUAACUUCGGGGGAAGGGGUGCCCCCUUCGGGGGGCCGCAGUGACCAGGCCCAGGCGACUGUUUACCAAAAACACAGGUCUCCGCGAAGUCGUAAGACAAUGUAUGGGGGCUGACGCCUGCCCAGUGCCGGAAGGUGAAGGAAGUCGGUUAUUUUUCUUUGGAAAAAAAAGCUGGUGACCGAAGCCCCGGUGAACGGCGGCCGUAACUAUAACGGUCCUAAGGUAGCGAAAUUCCUUGUCGGGUAAGUUCCGACCCGCACGAAAGGCGUAACGAUCUGGGCACUGUCUCGGAGAGAGACUCGGUGAAAUAGACAUG
rnacentral:rRNA from 1 species